CCUCUUUUUAAAAUUAUUGUUGUUAUUAUUACUAUUAUUAUUAUUAGACCAGGGGGGUCCCCCUCCCUGGGUGCCUGGGGAGAGAAAGGAGCAUCAUAACAGGCAGUUGGACAUGGAGGAUGGAUCUGGGGGGCUGGAAGGAGCCCAUCAAAAAGAAACCAAUCCAAAAGGAUCCUGUUUUCCACACUUUAGUGAAACACACCACUAAGUCUCACAAGUCAAUGGAUGUGGAGGAAUGACUGUUCCUAUUAUACUUGGACAAGCUGGGCGCAGUCAGCUUGGAAGAAGCACUAGGAAAAGUUGACCUUUCCUACAGAGCAGCACAAGUGGCGCUCUGGCACAUAUUUGUGAGCGCAAAGACCACCUGCGUUCGCCCUCCAAGAACACCUUCAUGCCAGCUCAACAGUACCAGAAAAGUGCAAAGUAUCAGCUGCUCUGGAAACCAAGUUAUGAGAAGGAAUGGCCGCGUACUUAAAGCAUGCACCUGGAAGCUAAGAGAUGAGAGACCUAUUCCUUACUCUGCAACCAACUCCAGCUGUGACCUUGGCUAAUUACUUACAUGCUUGUCAGGCUGCAGUUUUCCCCAAAAUGACAAGGAUUCUUUCUUUUUAUUUACUAUAAUUUCUUGUAUAACAGUGAAAGCAAGGGUAGAUUUGUACCCAGUAAAUGAAUCGAAGUAGAUAUAGAUAUAGGUA
rnacentral:lncRNA from 1 species